GAAACAUCACGCGUCGUACAAUCACUUAAGUUAAGCAAUGUUGAGCCUGGUCAGUACUUAGAUGUGUGACCGCUUGGGAAUACCAGGUACUGUAA